rnacentral:rRNA from 1 species
AUUGAACGCUGGCGGCAGGCCUAACACAUGCAAGUCGAGCGAGCGGCGGACGGGUGAGUAAUGUCUGGGAAACUGUCUGAUGCAGGGGGAUCACUACUGGAAACGGUAGCUAAUCCCGCAUACCAUCCGAUGUCCACAGAUGGGAUUAGCUAGUCGGUGGGGUAACGGCUCACCUAGGCGACGAUCCCUAGCUGGUCUGAGAGGAUGACCAGCCACACUGGAACUGAGACACGGCCCAGACUCCUACGGGAGGCAGCAGUGGGGAAUAUUGGACAAUGGGCGAAAGCCUGAUGCAGCCAUGCCGCGUGUGUGAAGAAGGCCUUCGGGUUGUAAAGCACUGUCGGCGGGGAGGCGUUACCCGCAGAGGAAGCACCGGCUAACUCCGUGCCAGCAGCCGCGGUAAUAC